rnacentral:rRNA from 1 species
CGUAGUGGCAAGCGUUGUCCGGAAUUAUUGGGCGUAAAGCGCGCGCAGGCGGUCCUUUAAGUCUGAUGUGAAAGCCCACGGCUCAACCGUGGAGGGUCAUUGGAAACUGGGGGACUUGAGUACAGAAGAGAAGAGUGGAAUUCCACGUGUAGCGGUGAAAUGCGUAGAGAUGUGGAGGAACACCAGUGGCGAAGGCGACUCUUUGGUCUGUAACUGACGCUGAGGCGCGAAAGCGUGGGGAGCAAACAGGAUUAGAUACCCUGGUAGUCCACGCCGUAAACGAUGAGUGCUAAGUGUUAGAGGGUUUCCGCCCUUUAGUGCUGCAGCAAACGCAUUAAGCACUCCGCCUGGGGAGUACGGCCGCAAGGCUG